GAAUCAGAUCUAAAAAUCUCUAAGUUGAAGUAUUGCUUCAUACCUGAGUUUCUCUGAUCUCGAUUAGCAUUCGGGGACUCUCCCUUAUGGUGCCGUUUGAUAUUCCGUGAUCUCUAGCAUUAUUUGGUUAUUAUACAAGAACUACAAAGCAAUCUCAGGAGCUAUUCCAUAGGAUGAUGAUCAUGACACUAGGGCGGACCUGUGCCUUAGAGAAUAAAAAUGAAGAUAGAAUUAGUUUAAUUAUGUUCU
rnacentral:lncRNA from 1 species